AGAGAGGGCAGUGGAGUCCUGGUGAUCUUCUCUGCAGUCAGGCAACCUCAGCAAUUAUACCAGUGCCAAGAAAGGGAAGGGAGGAUGUAGCACCCCAAGGAUCCCUGCCUCCAUUCAUCUUGGCAGCUCCUGUUUUCUUCCCGGACUGUUUCCUCUGGCCCGUGGCUCCAUUCUUCCCUCUCAGACAGGUUGAUGCACAGUCACUGAGUGUUUCUGCCAUACCCUACGUAUCUCUGUGUCUUUUCAGUAGCCAUCAUCAACCACCGACCAGCCCAGGAGUGACCCUACUACGCAGCUCGGCCCACCUCGUCCAUCUCAUCCACCUCAUCACUCCACACCUCCUGCUGCUGGUCGACACCGGGAUACUCCAUAUAUUUAGUAUCCACAAACUGUUUGUUUGUAAAGUCACCGCGCUGUAUAUAAUAAAUCACAGC